UCUCCGUUGGUGAACCAGCGGAGGGAUCAUUACUGAGUGAGGGUCUCCGGGCCCGACCUCCAACCCUUUUGUGAACCACCUCGUUGCUUCGGGGGCGACCCUGCCGUCCGCGGCUGAGCGCCCCCGGAGGCCUUCAACCACUGCAUCUUUGCGUCGGAGUUUAAGUAAAUUAAACAAAACUUUCAACAACGGAUCUCUUGGUUCUGGCAUCGAUGAAGAACGCAGC
rnacentral:misc_RNA from 1 species